AAAGAAACAGGCACCUAUUUCCGUCUCUAUCCCACCCCGGCCGCCGACCCGCUGGUCAAUAUCACAGCUUCCUCCCCGUGCGGCCCCUUUAACGGCUCUGCAGGGGGAAGGCUCCACGGGCCUGUUCCGGGCCGCUCAGUUACCGUCACAGAGCUGGGGAGGGGCCCGAAGCGCAGGCGCUGGGCUGGGCAAAGAUGCGGCCGCUGGAGCCGGCACAAUCCUGACCAGCCCGCGCCCGCUGGAGCCACCGCCAGGGACAUGUCCCGAAACGGUCCUCAGAGAUCUGGAACAUGAUGCUUUUGUGCAUGUCAGGUGACGAACCAAACCCAAAAAAAAGUACUGUAUCCAAAAGAAUAGAAGGACACUCAGAAGAGGAAUUCAGUGUGGUGAAUUCCAUCACCAGCCUGCAGUCCACAGCCAAACCCUGUGUUCCUCAUUAAGAAGAUAAUUUGCAGUCAGAUGCAUGGUAUUGAGUUCCAUGAACAGACCGAAAACCAGGCCACCUGCUUUCCUCAGAUGCAACCAGUUCAUAUGCCAGAAAUUGUUGGACACACCUAGGAAAACAUGACUCACCACCUGAAAAUCAGACUUCCACCCUUUGUGAUUGGUAAAGAUAAACUAUGAGUAAUUGGAACUCUUCUGGCUCAGACUGAUAACACUUCAUUGGAAAAGGAACCUAUCUUCACAUUUUAAGGCAUUUUGAUGUUCUCUGUGGAAACCUUCCCUGAAUGUUAUAAAUAUGGUUAGCUACUGUCCAGUAUCUAAUCUCCUGUUCAUGAGCCAGUUUAAUCAAGAAACUAACAAAAUGUACAACAUAUCUACACACAGCUAAUAUCCCAGAGCCUUUGCAGUCUGGUUUCAGGCCAGAAUACUGAACAGAAAAAUCAUAGGGGCAGCGAAUAAAUGAUUACUUGCUACCAAUGGAUAAGGGAUUAGGGGCAGAUUUUUAAGAGUAUUUAAGUGCCUAAUGGGAUUUCAGAAGUAUCAAGGUGCCUAGCUCCUGUUGAA